rnacentral:tRNA from 1 species
GGGCGGGUGGCUUAGCCAGGUUAGAGCGCCACGCUGAUAACGUGGAUGUCGAGAGUUCAAAUCUCUUCCCGCCCACCA